AUACUCAAAGCGUGGAGUGGACAAGUGAAUUCUACCCCUUUGGGUCAACCAUCUCCCUGACCUCAGCGGUUUAAAAACCACCACAUAGAAACAAGCUGCGCACAGAAACGAGGUUGUGCCAGAAAGGAGCGGGAAGACUCCGGAGAAGAGAUCCGGUAUAGUUUAGCAGCUCUGGCUGAGCCAGAGUAGACUCGCGCCCUGGCGCAGUACCCUCUCCCAGGUCACCAGGCGUGGAAUGAAAACCGCCUUUUCGCUCCAGAAAAGUGACCCCAAGAGUCGUCCCUCGCUGCAAGGUUGGCAGGGAUCUGACUUAGCUUUCCUAAAAAAAAAUUAAAACGGUAUUGAAAGGCCCACAGAGGACCCAGCACACAGGAGCCCAGACAAACAGCUCUGGCGCUCCCUUCUUCGCUUUUGGAUCCUGCCUAUGAGAGAGAAAAAAGAAGCCCAAGGGAUCCGGGCAUGUCUGUGCACCUUGUACAUGCCUGAUAUCUACAGAGGCCAGAGGAAGAUUGCAGAUCUUACAGAGCUAGAGUUACAGAUAGUUGUGAACCACCAUGUCUGUUGGUGAGAUCUGAAGCACCACUAAUGUUCACAUAACCUAAGAAGACCAUCAAGGUAUCAUAGCAGGAACUCUAACAGUCACUGUAGAACAAGAGGAGCACAUGACAGAAAUUGCGACUUAAUUAUGUCAAAGCAGCAAAGGAAGAGGCGGCGCCAUCUUCGGCUCCAGACAACCGGCCACCUUCCUGGCGAGAGCCACAGAGCUUCUGAGGCAGCGCCAUCUUCAGCUCCAGACAACCGGCCACCUUCCUGGCGAGAGCCACAGAGCUUCUGAGGCAGCGCCAUCUUCAGCUCCAGACAACCGGCCACCUUCCUGGCGAGAGCCACAGAGCUUCUGAGGCGGCGCCAUCUUCGGCUCCAGAAAACCGGCCACCUUCCUGGAUAUGUCCUACAGUGUUGAACAAAACACAAGAAGAAGAUAUUUGGGGCCAUGAAUAACUCAAGGACCCAGCCAGAUCUCAACAGUGGCACCUGCCCAACCUGCCAUUGUGCAAGUUUCUGCCACAUACUUUGAGAAGACACCUUCAAAGCUUAACAGGAGACCCUUUCAUCCUUGUAUGUAUAAUAAGAAAAUAUAUUAUGGUAUAGUGCUUCAUCUCUGAUUUGGGGUUUCACUGUGGAUGCUAACUCAAUAAUCAUGAAUUUAAAAUGCUGUCACAGAGAGUCCUGGCUGAAGGGAGGGUCACAGAGAGUCCUGGCUGAAGUUGGAGUUACAGAGAAUCCUGGCUGAAGGGACAAAGCUCAGAGAAUACAUUUAACAUCCCCUAGGUACCCAAUAUAUCCAUGAAUUUGUAUGUGACACAAAAACCUAGACAGGGAUAGGCACAUAUUUUCUUUCUUGCCUCUUCAACAACAACCCUAAAGUAAUUGGACCAAAGUGUGACCUUGCUUUGAUUGCUUUCUCAUUUGGGGUUCAUAUCUGAGCUCUCAAGCUUUCUAAUUUACGUAAUUGGAAUGAACUUAUGGGGCAAGUAUUUUAUGAAAGUACUCUGCGUAAGAUCUUAAAUUAUUGGAAAUAAUUUACCUCAUGAAAGAUAAUAUUUCUAGUAAUGUACAAAACCUAGAAAAAUUCUAAAAAUCACCAAAGAGAUACAAAACAAAGUAAGACUACUCAAAAAGUGAGGGUGUCUACUUGCUGUUGAAGGUAUUUUAUCUGUAUUAAUGUCUGCCACAUAGUAAAACACAUGGCUAUGUAUGAAAGGUAUGUUUCUUAACUAUUGCCUUGUAGAAAUUAUCAUUGUGUUGGAGGCAUAAACACGUCUGUGCUAGUUAACUCACAGCGUGUGUCAUGAGCUUAGGUGUGGUGUACUUGUGUUCUCUCAUUGAGGGUCUUUCAAAAGGUUGUGGAUGGUAUUGACUACUAAUACAGUUAUAGGCGUCAAUCUAAAUGACUGAAAAGUGAAGGAUCUGCUUUCCAGACACUCAUGUUUAUUGGUAGAAUUUCAUCUUUUCAAUGAAAAUUUUCAUUUUUUGCACUGACAGUUUUCUUGAGUCCAUUUCAUUUUCUUGUCUCAUAAACCUCCAAGAAAACCAUUAGAGGUGCUAAAGGGGAAGACAGAAAGGGCCAAAAUGGCAAGACAGAAUCAUAAAUAAUAGAGAAGUUGCACUCACUCAACUCCAAAAUAUUCUGGUUAGAAGCCAGUUGUGUAAAGAAUGGUUUUACUUUAUUUCAUUAAUAUCAGGAGGGAACAUCAUAGAGACUAUCUAACAAGGUCUGUGCUCAGACCCCCAGAUAGUCUUCUGAGUGCACAAAAACACCCUGUUCCUUGAGAAUACAAGAUAAUUUUACAAUUUAAUCUAAAUCCAAGAUCUUGCCUUCAAGGUAGGCUCAAGUGGGGAUGAGUUCACUUGAUGGAGGAAGUUAGCUGGGACACAUCUCUGUAUCUAUAGACCUGGGACACGAGGGAAACAAGUGUUCUCUACCAAGCCAGUGUGCCACAGGAUAAUGACAUUACAGUUUCCAGAAUGUGGAGAAGGUUGGUGAGACAGCAACCAUAAUAAUUUUGAAACUGAGCUAAGCAAAUAUUGAAUGGUCCUUGAUUCUGUUUCCAGGACAGGGCACGGCUUUGGUGGUCCUGGCUUUAGCCUCUAGGUGCUUUUGUUGACCUUAUUUCUCCACAAUAUUCUCAGUUUGUGUUAUGCAAGGAGAAACCUACCUGAGAACUAGAUCUUGUGUACUCCUGUUCUGACUAGUUUUUCUUUCAACCUAUUUUACCAAUACUUUAGUGCUGUAAUUUCCUUGCAGAUUUGAAAAGACUUACUCCAUGGAUCUGGAGAAGCCUUUCUACUUUGGGUUCUGCUGACAAGGUUUAGGGACUAUGCCAUACAGCUCUCACCAUGACUUGUGCUUCACUGAAGGGUUCCUUCAGCAUACCCUGAGUUGCUUGAAAUGAUGGGAUUUGCAGCAGAAUAUUCAAAUGCCUUAUCUGCCUGAGCUUUUUCAGAAAUUUGUGUACGUCUAUCUACACUCACUCUGUUAUCACUAACGAAGGCCCUAUAACCCAUUUUUUUUUCCUGGUCACUCCUAGAAAGUACUUUUAAAUUUUUUCUUUGCCUAAACAAAGAGGCUUAGUUAGCUCAUGAUGAUCAUUCCCUGUAGUUUUUUUUUUUAAACUAAUCAAUCCCCCAGUUUAUUGUCUCUUGCAUAUAAGAGGCGAGAAGAAACCAGGGACACCCUUAGCAGUUUGCUUGAAUAGUUUAUUGGGUAAUUUUUCAUGAUUAGUGUUAUUGACAUGUAAAUUUUCCUCAGCUUUGUGCCACUUGAGAAGACUCUGUCCCCCUGAUUUUGGAGAAUAUUCUUAUUCCUUUUGAGACUUCAUUACCAGUAUUUUCUAAGUUCAGACUGCUAUCCAGAUCCUUAUGGAGGUGACUUACACAUUUUGUAUUAUUAUAUUUCACAUCUUUCUAGCCUCUGACUGUACAUGCUCUGGUGACACUUCCAUACUUUCUGAAACUGUUCAAAAGUAUUCUUCUAGGCAGCAAAAUGUAUGUUAUUCAUCUAUUGCUGUGUAACAAGUACCAUCUAACAAGUAGGAUAUGACCAUAUACAUUUAUUUACUUUGUUACAGUUUGUCUCAGUCUCAUACCCAGUGACUUAAGGGCCCUCUGUUUCUAGGACUUGCUCAAUGAUAUAUCUAGGUGCUUCAAGGGUUCUGAACACUUAAUUGAAAAAAAAAAUUCUAUACCAAGCUCAAAAUGCCCACUAUUGGACUAAAUACUUGUGGCCCUGCCUGGGCCUUGAUCACAAGCAUACCUCAGUGCUUUGUUAUAUGAAUCUCUUCAAUAUGGCCCCUUAUCAUGUGAAUCCAUGAGGUCAGAACAGUAAAAGUACGUGUUAGUGAAUGGAAACAACAGUCCCAUUAAACUUAAUCAUUUAAGAGAUAUAAUUUUUAUAUUCCAUUUAUAUUCCAAUGGGUAUGAAUUAUAUCAGAAAGUAAACAAUUAUCACCUAUCCCCCAAAUAAGCCUUCCUAGUAAGGUUGAGAGAGGCAGUAAUCUAUAGUUAUAGAAAUAAGAACUUAGGGUGCAAUUUAAUACUAUAUACAUUAAUAGGAUAUUACCAGAUGCUCCUUUAGGUCUGAGAUUUAACUAUCCAUAGAUUUUUGGCCUAACUAAUGGAACCAUAUUUGAGGUCUGUCUUGUGGAGUAGUCUUGAAAUCUAUCCAAAAAGUGCUUGGUCACCCCCAUAACAUUUGUACCACCAAUAUAUUACUGCAUAUCCUUUCCUAGUCAGUCAUUAUUAUAGCUCACAGGGUUGACAUAUGGGUGUGUUGAUGACUUUUCUCCCCCAAGUAGCAUGUUGUAGUAACAUUCUUUGUGAAUUCUAGAAUUUUGGUUUCUUUAAAACAAACAAACAAACAAACAAACAAACACAGGAAUAUAAGAACAUGCUGUUAUUUUAAUCUCAGCUAUAGGGAUGUGGGGCAGCUUUGGACUAUCUGCAGCAGCUGACUAUGAUUUGCCCCAUGCUCUAGCAGAAGUGUGGUUUUUCCAGCAACAGAUAGCUUCUGUAAUUGUGUGAUAUUUGGACUUCUUGAAACUUUUCAGAGGUGUAUAAAUGCUAGAACCCUGAUAGGUGUAAUGGUUGUUGAUAUUUUAGGGAGAUUGGUUGUGGUUUGUUAGUAGCCAUGACCAGAGAAGAAGCAAAAGGAAAGAAUUUAGAUUCAGGUUUCCUAAUUCCUCUUCCCUCUCUAUUUUUCUCAUAUCUAGUAUUAAGGGGUGAAACAGCAGGGAUAAAGGGGGAAACUAAAAAGAACCCACAAAAUAGCAAAGACCAGCUACAGCAUGUAUUAAACCUAUCAUUAUGAUAGGUAGACAGUAGAGAUGAAUCUUCUAGAUCAGUAUCAUCUUCAUUUCUCCAUGUCCUAUCAUCAAGUAUGAGAUGUUUUAAGUAACUAAUGCCGAUGGAAAUGGCCUGUAAUUUGGGGGCUGUUUACUGACCUCAUUGACCAACAACUCA
rnacentral:lncRNA from 1 species